rnacentral:rRNA from 1 species
AGAAAAAGUCACACGUCCGAUUAGUACUAGUCAGCUGAGCGCAUUACUGCGUGUGCACUUCUAGCCUAUUGACCACGUAGUCUACAUGGGGACUUAAGCAUUGACCUUUUUGAGGGGUCAAUGGGGGAUGUCCUAUCUUGGAAGAGGCUUCCCGCUUAGAUGCUUUCAGCGGUUAUCCUGUCCUGACAUAGAUAUUCAGCCUACUUCUGGCGAAAUAACUGAUACACCAGAGGUCAGUUCACUCCGGUCCUCUCGUACUAGGAGCAAAGUUCCUCAGACAUCCAAAGCCCGCAGUGGAUAGGGACCGAACUGUCUCACGACGUUCUGAACCCAACUCGCGUACCACUUUAAUCGGCGAACAGCCGAACCCUUGGGACCUGCUGCAGCCCCAGGAUGUGAUGAGUCGACAUCGAGGUGCCAAACCUCCCCGUCGAUGUGAACUCUUGGGGGAGAUAAGCCUGUUAUCCCCGAAGUACCUUUUAGCCGUUGAGCGAUGGCCCUUCCACACAGAACCACCGGAUCACUAUGACCUGCUUUCGCAUCUGCUUGACUUGUGGGUCUUGCAGUUAAGCCGGUUUGUACCAUUACGCGCUGCACAUGAUUUCCAUACAUGUUGAACCGACCUUUGUGCACCUCCGUUACGUUUUAGGAGGCAACCACCCCAGUUAAACUGCCUACCAAACACUGUUUCCGUUUGGGCGGAUUAGAUUUUUAAUGAAUAAAGGGUGGUAUUUCACUGGGUGACUUAGUCGUAUCUGGCGACACGACUUCGGCGUCUUCCACCUAAGCUAUACAGUAUUUAUCAAAAAUCAAUGUUAAGCUACAGUAAAGGUUUCGGGGUCUUUCUGUCCUACUGCGGGUAACCGGCAUUUUCACCGGUAAUUUAAUUUCACCGAGUCUACAACUGAGACAGCAUCCAGAUCGUUACACCAUUCGUGCAGGUCAGAACUUACCUGACAAGGAGUUUCGCUACCUUAGGACCGUUAUAGUUACGGCCGCCGUUUACCGGGGCUUCGAUUCAAUGCUUCAUUCGUGAGAAUUAACAUCUCCUCUUAACCUUCCGGCACCGGGCAGGUGUCAGACCCUAUACAUCUCUUUACAGAUUAGCAGAGUCCUGUGUUUUUGAUAAACAGUCGCCUGGAUCUUUUUACUGAGGCCCUGAUGGUUGUGCGUGACCCGAGGGUCAUGCCUUUCCACUGAGGCACUCCUUAUUCCGAAGUUACGGAGUCAAUUUGCCGAGUUCCUUAGCUGUAGUUGUCUCGUUCGCCUUAGAAUACUCAUCCCACCUACCUGUGUCGGUUUGCGGUACGGUUUAACUGAUCUAUAUUUAGAACCUAUUUCCUGUUAGUGUGGCUUAGCUCUCUUAAGCUUCCUUACGGUUGCUUGGCAUUCACGGCUCAGCUCACCGCCAUCUAUUAAAUGGCGUACACCUUACCGUUUAGACCAGGACGACCAUCACCUGGCAGAGCGUCACCUCCUACGUCAGUCCAUCACGCGAUCAGUUAAGUAGAGAAAUAUUAAUCCCUUUCCCAUCGACUAGACCUUUCGGUGUUGCCUUAGGGGCCGACUAACCCAGAGCGGAUUAUCCUUCCUCUGGAAACCUUAGGUUUUCGGCGGACAGAUUUCUCAUCUGUCUUUACGUUACUCAUGCCUACAUUCUCACUUCCCAUAUCUCCAACUAGAUUCUCAUCUCAUCUUCAACGACAUAGGGAACGCUCUUCUACCACAAAACACAGCCGCAGCCGUGCUCUAUUCGUGAUUUCGGUAACAGACUCUAGCCCCGUUACAUUUUCGGUGCAUGGACACUUGACCAGUAAGCUAUUACGCACUUUUUAAAGGAAUGGCUGCUUCUAAGCCAACCUCCUGGCUGUCUAAGUGUUCACACUUCCUUUUCCACUUAGUCUGUAUUUGGGGACCUUAAUCGACGAUCUGGGCUCUUUCCCUCUCGACUAUGGAGCUCAUCCCCCACAGUCUGACUCCCGGAAUAAUUUCGCAUGGUAUUCGGAGUUUGAUUGAAUUUGGUACCCGGUUAAAGGCCCGCAUCCAUUCAGUGCUCUACCCCCAUACGAUAACUUCCGAGGCUAUACCUAAAUAUAUUUCGAAGAGUACCAGCUAUCUCCAAGUUUGAUUAGCCUUUCACUCCAAUUCACAAGUCAUCCAAAAUCUUUACAACGAUUACUGGUUCGGCCCUCCAUUUGGUUUUACCCAAACUUCAGCCUGCUCAUGAAUAGAUCACUUGGUUUCGGGUCUAAAACGCGCAACUUAUUCGGACAUUUAAUCCUCGCUUUCACUACGGCUCCAUUUCUAACAAAACUUAACCUUGCUACACGCAUUAACUCGUAGGCCCAUUAUGCAAAAGGUACGCAGUCAGGCUUCCUAAAAAACCCUCCUACUACUUGUAAGUAUGAGAUUUCAGGUUCUAUUUCACUUCCCUCACGGGGAUCUUUUCACCUUUCCCUCACGGUACUUGUCCACUAUCGGUCACUAGCUUGUAUUUAGCCUUAGAUGGUGGUCCACCUAGCUUCACGCCAAAUUCCUCGUGUUUGACGCUACUCAGGAUCCAGCCUCACAUAAGUCUCAUUUCGUGUACGGGGGUCUUACCCUCUUCGCCUAUCUUUUCCAAAGAUAUUCCACUACAAUUCUCAUGCUAAUUGACUGUCCUACAACCCCUAGACUUUCUAGGUUUGGGCUCCUCCCCUUUCGCUCGCCGCUACUAAGGGAAUCUCUUUUGAUUUCUCUUCCUCCAGGUACUUAGAUGUUUCAGUUCCCUGAGUUUCGCUUCCUGCCUAAACAGAAUGUAUGAAUACUAUUCAUACGGGUUUCCCCAUUCGGGUAUCUACGGAUCAAAACUCGUUUGCAGCUCCCCGUAGCUUAUCGCAACAUACUACGCCCUUCUUCGCCAGCUAGUGCCAAGGCAUCCGUCCCAUACUCUUAACUU